GGCAGGGAGGAGGAAAGAGGGUGCGACCUCCCUGUUGGCUUCCACUGGCUGUGCUGUUUAUCUGGUUGCCUGCUCCAGAUAUGGGGCCUUGUGUCUGGGUUACAAUGAUAACAGUCUUUCCGGAGGGUGGCCCUAGAAUAGAGACUAUGUUGGUGGUCUGCCCCAGUGAUGGGGCUCUGCUGUUGAGUUGCUAUGGAAACAAGGUCUCUUUGCUGGCAGGCCCAUGGUCUGGGCCUUGGUGUUGGUCAUUCCUGGGGCGGAGCUUCACAACUGGUCAGCAUGGGAUCAAGGCCAAGUCUUGUGCUAGAGUGGUAAAGAAAAAAAAAUAGUCAAGCAAGAACAAGUUCUGUGCAUUCGCCAGAAUGCAUCUUGAAUCCAACACUUGUCACAAGGUGAGUAGCUUGUUACAUCAUCAUAAUAAUAGCUGGUCAUUGUCUGGAUCAGAGUUUCUAAGUUUUAAAAAAUUGUUGGUGUUGAUAGUGUUGUUAUAUUCUCUAGGAAACUGCCUUUCCUACCCUCCCACCUAGCAAACCAGCCAAUACUUGAAACAAAG
rnacentral:lncRNA from 1 species